GCCUGGUUGGCUCAGCCGGUAGAUCGUAAGACUCUUGAUCUCGGGGUCAUGAGUUCGAGUCCCAUGCCGGGUG
rfam:Felis catus isolate Cinnamon breed Abyssinian chromosome A3, whole genome shotgun sequence.